AUGUUAUGCCAUGAGUCAUGGGACCAGCCUGAGUCCUGGGGGACCUCGUCUGACCACACCCUACUCCCCAAGUCCCCAGCAGUAUCAUGAGAUCCUUCUUGUUGUUUGUUAGCCUUGGACAGCUGAAGUCAGGUAUUUGCGAUCAGAAUCAUUUGGAACUUGCUGAAUUGUUUGGAAAAUCCUUCUGUAGAGGAGAAGAACUUGUUGCCUUCUGAUGAACUGCUUUAACAUUAGUGUUGCUGGGCUGUGCCUCGGUGCCUUGGGUUUCCUACAGGGUGAGUGCCCCAGAAGGAACACAGAAAGCUGGGCUGCCGCUUCAUCACGGCUUUCUCGGAAAACGGGGGCGCUGAGAAGCCCAACUUCCAGCUAUAUAUGUCGCCACCGCCCACAGGGCCCCCGACGGCGAUGCUGGUGACAGCGCUCCCUGCGUGGGCGCCACUCUCCCCGUGCUCCCCGCGCCUGCAGCCAGGCACGACGGUGUGGGUGUGCCCGCCCGGGGCAGAGGAGCUGCAGGGCUCGCGGCAGGCGGCGCUGUGCAAGCAGCGACGUCGCGGCCCGAGGAAGUGGAGGCGGUGAACGCGCGUGGGCGCGCCUCCCGGGACACGGCGCUGGCUCUGCGGCGCUACCUGCUGGGCACUCCCUAAUCGAUGGUGACGCCGUCGCUGCCGCCCGGCGACCGGCACAAGGAGUUUGCGGUGGUGGCGGGCGCUGGGCCCACGCUCUUGAGGCGCCUCAAGCCCCCUAAGCCUGUUCUGCUGGACCGCGUAGGCCACCCUGCCCGCUGGCCCCAUCCAUUGAGCCUUGAAGGCUUCCAGAGGCGCUGCAGUUGCAGAGAGCAGGAGACCUAUCCGGCACCCGCGUCGUGGCCGCCCAUCCUGUCGCGCUGCUGGCUGGCCUCAGUUGUCUGCAAGCGAGAAGCAAGGCCUGUGGCCACGCGUUUGGACGACCGCCGCCCCAGGGUCGCUGGAGUGGUCUCCACACGGUGCCCCACUUUGCCCCAGAGCGUCCCGGGCGCCGAGACUGCGUGUUCCUGGAGGCUAGUGGCCCGGGUAGCCUGUGCUCCUGGUGCUGCGACGCCGACCGGGCGUGCGUGGGCUCUGCGCCCUGGCACGGUGCUGCGCUCUGUGGUGGACCAGUGCACUCUCUGGCUUUGCGCUCUUCGGCUGGCGUGCAGGUGUUUUUCCCCCCGAGGCCGCCGCGGCCCGCGGGGGUUGACACCUACGAUCCCUCCUUCGCGCUUAUGCCCUGGUGGGCGCGUUCAGCUGCAGCUUCGCAAGCAUGGUGCAGCCAAACUUUUCCAACGUGGAAUUUGCACCUGCCCCGGUGCUCCCGGACUGCCUGCUGGGCCCGAGCCGCGUCAUGAGCAGCAUUCUGACCAAAGGCUGGUCCCGGCUCAGGGCUUCGCCUGGACUGAGGUGGCCUAGGGGCGCAGGUGCAGGGCAGUGCAAGACCUGUAGAGAGGCGGGGCGCCCAUGGGCAUGUUUAGCUUCGGCAUCGCCCAAGGCGCAGGCUUCGGGACCCAGGCCGUAGGGCAGCCGGCGGCAGAUGAGCAGCCCUGAGGGCCCAAGGGUUUGGGGAGGUGAACCGGCAAUGGGAUUCGUGGAUAUUAGGAUUGGAGAAAAUCAUAACACUACAUUCCAUUGCUUAUAUAACAAGAGAGGUAGUUUUUUUUGUUUUUGUUUUUGUUUUUGUUUGGUGGUUUUUUUUUGUUGUUGUUGUUUGUUUUGGUUUGGUUUUGCUUUGCACCCCACCCGACCCUCAAUUUUUGUAUUUUUACUAGAGACUGGGUAUCAGCAUGUUGGCCAGGCUGGUCUUGAGCUCCUGACCUUAGGUGAUCCACCCGCCUCGGCUUCCCAAAGAGCUGGGAUUACAGGCCUGAGCCACUGCGCCCGGCCCAGAGAGUCAUCCUGGAGAUGGGUCUUUUUGUUAUCCUCAUUUCAUAGAGAAGACAGUUGAAGGUUUAAGCCAUGAAAUCACUGCCCAAGGCCACAUGCUGAACAGAUGUCAGCUUUGAACCCCAAGCCUGCUUGGGCUGCUGGGAAACAGGCAUGUUGUCUCAGAGGGCACCGCGCUCGGCGAAGACUCAGCGAGACUGGACGCUGACCAUGGUUCUGAACACACUGUGCUGCGGGACCUGGGCUUUUCCUGUAACCCUGAAAUCCCAUUCAACCUCUUACGGUCCUGAGAAACAACGGAAGACCAGGGAGAUGAGAGAAAAGUGAGGGAAUGCUGAGAGAGAGAGGCUGGGUUUCUUAGAAAUGAAGACAAGGACUUCAAUUCAUUUAUUUAUAACAGCUCAGAGCUGGACUCUGGAGCCAAGAGUCCUGGAUGCAAAUCCUGCUCCAAGCUGUGUGAUUCUGCAUAAGUCAAUUCAUUUCUCUGACUAUCUACUUCCCCUCUAUUAAAGGUGGAUAAUAGUAUGAACA
rnacentral:lncRNA from 1 species